rnacentral:rRNA from 1 species
GUGAAGCGGGAAGAGCUCAAAUUUGAAAUCUGGUAGCCUUCGGUUGCCCGAGUUGUAAUCUAGAGAAGUGUUUUCCGCGUUGGCCCAUGUACAAGUCCCUUGGAACAGGGCGUCAUAGAGGGUGAGAAUCCCGUCCUUGACAUGGACCCCCAAUGCUUUGUGAUACACUUUCAACGAGUCGAGUUGUUUGGGAAUGCAGCUCAAAAUGGGUGGUGAAUUCCAUCUAAAGCUAAAUAUUGGCGAGAGACCGAUAGCGAACAAGUACCGUGAGGGAAAGAUGAAAAGCACUUUGGAAAGAGAGUUAAACAGUACGUGAAAUUGUUGAAAGGGAAACGAUUGAAGUCAGUCAUGCUCUUUGGAUUAAGCCGUUCUGCGGUGUAUUUCAUUGAGCGGGGUCAACAUCAGUUUUGAUCGCUGGAAAAGGGCAGGAGGAAGGUAGCACUCUCGGGUGAACUUAUAGCCUCUUGUCGUAUACAGUGAUUGGGACUGAGGAACGCAGCAUGCCUUUUGGCCGGGAUUCGUCCACGUACAUGCUUAGGAU